rnacentral:rRNA from 1 species
GACGAACGCUGGCCGCGUGCUUAACACAUGCAAGUCGAACGGAAAGGCCUCUUUCGGGGGGUACUCGAGUGGCGAACGGGUGAGUAACACGUGAGUAACCUGCCCUUGACUUUGGGAUAACUUCAGGAAACUGGGGCUAAUACCGGAUAGGAGCUCCUGCUGCAUGGUGGGGGUUGGAAAGUUUCGGCGGUUGGGGAUGGACUCGCGGCUUAUCAGCUUGUUGGUGGGGUAGUGGCUUACCAAGGCUUUGACGGGUAGCCGGCCUGAGAGGGUGACCGGCCACAUUGGGACUGAGAUACGGCCCAGACUCCUACGGGAGGCAGCAGUGGGGAAUAUUGCACAAUGGGUGGAAGCCUGAUGCAGCAACGCCGUGUGCGGGAUGACGGCCUUCGGGUUGUAAACCGCUUUCGCUCAUGACGAAGCUUUGUGUGACGGUAGUGGGUAAAGAAGCACCGGCUAACUACGUG